UGAGGGGGGCUGCUCCUAGUACGAGAGGACCGGAGUGGACGCAUCACUGGUGUUCGGGUUGUCAUGCCAAUGGCACUGCCCGGUAGCUAAAUGCGGAAGAGAUAAGUGCUGAAAGCAUCUAAGCACGAAACUUGCCCCGAGAUGAGUUCUCCCUGACUCCUUGAGAGUCCUGAAGGAACGUUGAAGACGACGACGUUGAUAGGCCGGGUGUGUAAGCGCAGCGAUGCGUUGAGCUAACCGGUACUAAUGAACCGUGAGGCUUAACCUUACAAC
rnacentral:rRNA from 1 species